rnacentral:lncRNA from 1 species
UUUUAUUAGAUUUUGAUAAUUAAGUUUAAUCAAUACAACCCAAUUCAAGUCCAAUAAGCAGAUUAGGCAAGUUCAAGCUCAACAAGUAGAUGGACCCAAACCCAAUAAAGCAAAUGGGCCCAAGCCCAAGUCCAAAUCCAAUAAGGCAAAUGGGCCCAAGCUUAAGCCCAACAAGCAAAUUGGUCAAAGUCCAAGUCCAACAAGCAAAUGGGUCAAAGUCCACUUAAAGCCCACAAAAUUUCUCUAUAAAUAGAGACCUUUGUCAUUCAUUUGAGGAAGUCUUUGGUUGAAUGAAGAAUUGAAGCUCUGAAGUACUGAAGCUCUGAAGAAUUGAAGAUUCAAACUUCUACAAACUCUCAAGACGUGCAAGUUCGUAUCAACCUCGAGAUCAACAACUUCUGAAAGAUUGAAGACUUGGAAGAUUAAAUUUUCCUUGAAUUCCAUAAGAUCGAAGUUCAAAUCGACUUGCAACAACAACAUCCUGAAGACCAAAGAUCGAGAAGUUCUAAGUUUUAACUUGUAUUCGAGAGAAAACAUCAAAUGAGUAAAUACUAGAGAUUGUAUUCACAAUAUUCAAUAUUUAUCAAUAUAACAAAGUUCAAUUCCACGAAAUACAUUUCUUCGAAAUCUCGUGUGAACAGUUUGGCACGCCCAGUGGGACAAUCUCUACCUUUCAUCUCUUUCUCUUUUGAAGAACAUCUAAAGAUAUCAUGAUAUCUCAAGACAAUACUUCCAAAGCUCCAAGUGACAUCGGCAAGCAGCCAAAUACUCGUGGCCGCUCAAGGGAGACUAAAU